UACAGAGGUCUCGAGCGUUAGGCGGAAUCACUGGGCUUAAAGCGUGUGUAGGCGGAUCGUUAAGUGCCUUGUGAAAUCCCACGGCUCAACCGUGGAACUGCUUGGCAUACUGGCGGUCUUGAGCAACCUAGGGGCGAGCGGAACAAAUGGUGGAGCGGUGAAAUGCGUAGAUAUCAUUUGGAACGCCAUGGUGAAAACAGCUCGCUGGGGGUUUGCUGACGCUGAGACACGAAGGCCAGGGGAGCAAACGGGG
rnacentral:rRNA from 1 species